rnacentral:rRNA from 1 species
GAGCGUUAAUCGGAAUUACUGGGCGUAAAGCGUGCGCAGGCGGUGCGUUAAGUUCGUCGUGAAAGCCCCGGGCUCAACCUGGGAAUGGCGAUGGAAAAUGGCGGGCUGGAGUGUGGCAGAGGGGGGUGGAAUUCCGCGUGUAGCAGUGAAAUGCGUAGAGAUGCGGAGGAACACCGAUGGCGAAGGCAGCCCCCUGGGCCAACACUGACGCUCAGGCACGAAAGCGUGGGGAGCAGACAGG